rnacentral:lncRNA from 1 species
UUUUAUAGUUAAAAAGGAUAUAUAUACAUAGAAUACACACCACGCAUGUACACAUAUGAAUUUUGAAGUAUUAAUGUGUGUUGCAUAAUAUUUCAAUUUUGUUGAAUUUCAUCGCAUAAUUUUAGCAAAUGAAGGUGAGAAAGGGGGAAGAAUGCAUAAAAAGAGAUAUUUUACAUAUCUUUUAGAUCUAUUUUGCGCUCUCAUGUUGCUCGGGAAGAGGAUAAACUAGGGGAGACUCAGCAGAGCGUGUUAUCUAUACCAAGGACGUUAUUUUUAUUGCGGUUGCGUGAAUGAGAGCGAUAAAGAGGUGUUCGUCGUUUUUUUUUCCAUCGAGGUAUUUUCCAAAGUUUAAACGGUCGCAGCGUGGGGAGUAUGAAAUAUAUAAAGACGACACCUGUCACGGUCAAGUCUUCUUGCGAUCUCGCGACGCAGAAUUAUCGCGUAAAGGUGCUUUUAUAUUUUCUCUCGUAAACGAGAAAUCAAGAAUAAUCUCGAUAUGAUAAUUCUGAAUCGAUCUUCGUGGAAACAAUUUUGGAACAACAGUUCGUUUGUUCCAAAGCUUUCAUUAAGAUACAGACAGAACAUCGCCCAACAUUGAUUAUUCGAAGAAAAUAUUCUACAUGUAGAACGUAAAGGAUAUUAAUUCGGCGUGUCCCAUUAUGUUUGAAGCUAGUAUCUUUGAAAGAGUGUUUUCGAGGCCAAUGUAUGGUUAAAUAUUUGAAUAUUAUGAUUAUUAUGGUUAAAAAACAGUCAAUUAUUUUUCUGUCGAUUUAUUAUUCUAAUCUUUUCAUCUUUCAACUUUAUCUGUUAAACUUUAUGUAUCAAACUUUAUGUUUGUUUUAUGAUUUACCAUUUACCAAACGGCAUUCAUCAUUUAAACAGAAGAAUUUGUUUUAUAUGAUACUGAUUGAGUAAUACUGAUUUUGUAAAAUAUGAGUUAAUAUAAGUUAAACUCUAGAAAACAAGUCUUAAAAUCCCAAUGUAAAGACACGAGUUAGAUAAAGCUGUAUGUAACAUAA